rnacentral:rRNA from 1 species
AUGAACGCUGGCGGCGUGCCUAAUACAUGCAAGUCGAGCGAACAGAUGAGGAGCUUGCUCCUCUGACGUUAGCGGCGGACGGGUGAGUAACCCGUGGAUAACCUACCUAUAAGACUGGGUUAACUUCGGUAAACCGGAGCUAAUACCGGAUAAUAUAUUUAACCGCAUGGUUCAAUAGUUAAAUUCGGUUUUUCUUUCACUUAUAGAUUGAUCCGCGCCGCAUUAGCUAGUUGGUAAGGUAACGGCUUACCAAGGCAACGAUGCGUAGCCGACCUGAGAGGGUGAGCGGACACACUGGAAGGGAGACACGGUACAGACGACUACGGGAGGAAGCAGUAGGGAAUAUGCCGAAAAGGGCGAAAGCAUGAAGGAGCAACGCCGCGUGAGAGAUGAAGGUCUUCGGAUCGUAAAACUCUGUUAUUAGGGAAGAAAAAAUGUGUAAGUAACUAUGCACGUAUUGACGGUACCUAAUCAGAAAGCCACGGCUAACUACGUG